UCAGUCAGCAGCCAUCAACAUUGAGGCAAGACCCUCCACCAGCAAAAUGAUUAUGACUUACUGAAGGUUCAGAUAAUCAUUCUCACUUUUUGGCAACAAAGUAUAUUUUAUUAAGGUGCAACUAAAAAUUCUGGAUAUUCUGUACAAAAGAAACAAAAUAAAAGUCUCAAGGAUGGAGAGGAGGGACUGGCUAAAGAUGCAGAGACCCAAUGAAUGACGCAGAGAGUCGUUCCACAGGCCCCAGCUGGCUAUUUUCUCUCUAUUCACCUUUAAAGGAGAGUUUUAUCCGUGUCUUGCAUU